rnacentral:lncRNA from 1 species
AUAUUAUAUUUUUAAUUCUCAAAUUAUGAGACACAUGAUAUUUUGAUAUUUAAAUUCUAAUUUAUUAUAAUUUUUGGCUUCCAAUUUUCUGUUUAAUACAAUUAAAAUCUUAUGGUUUAAUUUAGUUGAUUGAAUACUGAUGUAUCACUAAUAUGAUAAUGAUAUGACAUCUUAACUAUUACUAGAUUAUGAUCAAAUCUAAUAUUGUUAUAUUAUUGCCAUAUUGGUGGCACGUCACUAUUCAAUUAAAAAGAGGUGAAGGACUACCGGUGAACCAGGAACGUCAGCAUAACAUUACAAAUAUUUAAUUAUUAUAUAUAAUUUUAUUAUAUAAAAUUAUAUUCUAGUAUCAUACU